GAAAUGCGAUAAGUAAUGUGAAUUGCAGAAUUCAGUGAAUCAUCGAAUCUUUGAACGCACAUUGCGCCCUCCGGUAUUCCGGGGGGCAUGCCUGUCCGAGCGUCAUUACAACCCUCAAGCCCGGCUUGUCAUUGGGUGCCGCCCCCCGGGGCUCGCCCGAAAUACAGGGACCGUCUGGAGAAGCUCCGAGCGUAUGGGUCAAACCCGCUCCGGCAGCCUUCUCUGGUCUGUCGAACCACCCCACUUCUUUAUGUGGACCUCGGAUCAGGUAGGGAUACCCGCUGAACUUAA
rnacentral:misc_RNA from 1 species